GAUGAACGCUAGCUACAGGCUUAACACAUGCAAGUCGAGGGGCAGCGGGAUUGAAGCUUGCUUCAAUUGCCGGCGACCGGCGCACGGGUGAGUAACGCGUAUCCAACCUUCCGUACACUCAGGGAUAGCCUUUCGAAAGAAAGAUUAAUACCUGAUGGUAUGAUGAGAUUGCAUGAUAGCAUCAUUAAAGGUAUUCCGGUAGACGAUGGGGAUGCGUUCCAUUAGAUAGUAGGCGGGGUAACGGCCCACCUAGUCUUCGAUGGAUAGGGGUUCUGAGAGGAAGGUCCCCCANAUUGGAACUGAGACACGGUCCAAACUCCUACGGGAGGCAGCAGUGAGGAAUAUUGGUCAAUGGGCGAGAGCCUGAACCAGCCAAGUAGCGUGAAGGAUGACUGCCCUAUGGGUUGUAAACUUCUUUUAUAAAGGAUAAAGUCGGGUAUGCAUACCCGUUUGCAUGUACUUAUGAAUAAGGAUCGGCUAACUCCGUGCC
rnacentral:rRNA from 1 species